rnacentral:rRNA from 1 species
GAUGAACGCUGGCGGUAUGCUUAACACAUGCAAGUCGAACGGACUCUUCGGAGUUAGUGGCGGACGGGUGAGUAACGCGUGAGAAUCUGGCUUUGGGUUCGGGACAACCACUGGAAACGGUGGCUAAUACCGGAUGUGCCGAGAGGUAAAAGAGAAAUUGCCUGAAGAUGAGCCCGCGUCUGAUUAGCUAGUUGGUGAGGUAAAGGCUCACCAAGGCAGCGAUCAGUAGCUGGUCUGAGAGGAUGACCAGCCACACUGGGACUGAGACACGGCCCAGACUCCUACGGGAGGCAGCAGUGGGGAAUUUUCCGCAAUGGGCGAAAGCCUGACGGAGCAAUACCGCGUGAGGGAAGAAGGCUCUUGGGUUGUAAACCUCUUUUCUUAGGGAAGAACAAAAUGACGGUACCUAAGGAAUCAGCAUCGGCUAACUCCGUG